GAACUUGAGUUUGUGUCGUGUUUGAACUUGAGUUUUUGUGUUUGUUGAACUUAAGUUUGUGUUGUUUUUGAACAUGAGUUUGUUUCAUGUUCGUACUUGAGUUUGUUGCGUUUGUUAAACUUGAGUUUGAGUGGUUGUUGAACUUGAGGUUGUGGCAAUUGUUAAACUUGAGAUUUGGUUGUUGGUUGAACUAUAGUUUGUGUCGUGUCUGAACUUGAGUUUGUUUUGUGUUUGAACUUGAGUUUGUGGUUUUAGUUGAACUUGAGUUU